UUUGUCUAUUAAUUGUAGACCUGUAUGAAAGGCAAAAUGAGAGCCCAACUGUCUCUUGUAACAAAUCAAUUAAACUGAUCUCCUAGUACAAAAGCUAGAAUACUAACAUAAGACCAGAAGACCCUGUGAAGCUUUAACUAACCUACUAAACCAAAUAAUAGCUACUUUAGGUUGGGGCGACCUUGGAAUAAAAAAGAACUUCCAACCUAUGACUUUCUCAUAAAUAAGGCAAACAAGCCAACACAAGCCCAGCACUGCUGAUAAUCGAAACAAGUUACUCCAGGGAUAACAGCGCUAUCUUCUUUAAGAGCCCAUAUCAAAAAGAAGGUUUACGACCUCGAUGUUGGAUCAGGACUCCCCAGUAGUGCAA
rnacentral:rRNA from 1 species